rnacentral:rRNA from 1 species
CAGUCGCCGCGGUAACACGUAGGUGGCGAGCGUUGUCCGGAAUUAUUGGGCGUAAAGGGAGCGCAGGCGGACAUAUAAGUCCAUCUUAAAAGUGCGGGGCUCAACCCCGUGAGGGGAUGGAAACUGUAUGCCUUGAGUGCAGGAGAGGAAAGCGGAAUUCCCAGUGUAGCGGUGAAAUGCGUAGAUAUUGGGAGGAACACCAGUGGCGAAGGCGGCUUUCUGGACUGCAACUGACGCUGAGGCUCGAAAGCCAGGGGAGCGAACGGGAUUAGAUACCCCCGUAGUCCCUGUCUCUUAUACA